GAUGAACGCUGGCGGCGUGCCUAACACAUGCAAGUCGAACGGAGUUAUGAGAGGAAACCUUUCGGGGUGGAAACCUAUAACUGAGUGGCGGACGGGUGAGUAACGCGUGAGCAAUCUGCCUUUAGGAGGGGGAUAACAGCCGGAAACGGCUGCUAAUACCGCAUAAAGUAUGGAGUAGGCAUCUACUUGAUACCAAAGGAGCAAUCCGCCUUUAGAUGAGCUCGCGUCCCAUUAGCUAGUUGGAGGGGUAAAGGCCCACCAAGGCGACGAUGGGUAGCCGGACUGAGAGGUUGAACGGCCACAUUGGGACUGAGACACGGCCCAGACUCCUACGGGAGGCAGCAGUGGGGAAUAUUGCGCAAUGGGGGAAACCCUGACGCAGCAACGCCGCGUGAUUGAAGAAGGCCUUCGGGUUGUAAAGAUCUUUAACCGGGGACGAAGAAUGACGGUACCCGGGGAAUAAGCUCCGGCUAACUACGUGCCAGCCGCCGCCGUAACAC
rnacentral:rRNA from 1 species